AGAGUUUGAUCAUGGCUCAGCCUGAACGCUGGCGGCGUGGCUAAGACAUGCAAGUCGUACGGGUGUAGCAAUACACCAGUGGCGGACGGGUGAGUAAUGUAUCGCUAACGUACCCCAAUGUCUGGGAUAGCUGCCCGAAAGGGCAGGUAAUACCGGAUAAAAUAACUUUGUCGCAUGACGAGGUUCUCAAAGGGCAACCGCGUUGGGAGCGGGCGAUAUCGUAUCAGCUAGUUGGUAGGGUAACGGCCUACCAAGGCGACGACGCGUAGCCGGACUGAGAGGUUGGCCGGCCACAUUGGGACUGAGACACUGCCCAGACUCCUACGGGGGGCUGCAGUAACGAAUCUUCCGCAAUGCACGCAAGUGUGACGGAGCGACGCCGCGUGUGGGACGAAGUCCUUCGGGAUGUAAACCACUGUCAGGGGUUAGAAAGUUCUGAUCAACCCCAGAGGAAGGCACGGCUAACUCUGUGCCAGCAGCCGCGGUAAGACAGAGGUGCCAAGCGUUAGGCGGAAUCACUGGGCUUAAAGCGUGUGUAGGUGGAUGGGUAAGUACCUUGUGAAAUCCCACGGCUCAACCGUGGAACUGCUUGGUAUACUGCUUGUCUUGAGCCAUCUAGGGGCGAGCGGAACAAAUGGUGGAGCGGUGAAAUGCGUAGAUAUCAUUUGGAACGCCAAUGGUGAAAACAGCUCGCUAGGGAUGCGCUGACACUGAGACACGAAAGCCAGGGGAGCAAACGGGAUUAGAUACCCCGGUAGUCCUGGCCGUAAACGAUGUCCACUAGAUCGCAGUGCCUCUGACGGUAUUGCGGUCGAAGCAAAAGUGCUAAGUGGACCGCCUGGGAAGUACGGUCGCA
rnacentral:rRNA from 1 species